CCCUGCUGUCUUUAGCAACUUUUGUGAGUACCCGUUUUGUGUGGGAAGACUUAUCAACUAAAAUAAUAAUUCAGCCCCAUCUCACAACAACCUCUGUAAAAGAAAAAGCACUUUUGCACACCAUGGAUACCUGCUUGAAGCAACACCUCAUUUUUUCCUGAUGAAGAAUUUCCUGAUGAUUGAAUUUCCUGAUGAUUGUUUUCCAUUUUCCCUAUUUUCUCCAUCCCAGUUCAGUUGUCAUGCAGGCCAUGACCAGAGGCGUGCUUUAGACAAGCCCAAAUGGUUUGGCUCUGGUUCAUCCCCCUUACCCAGGAAUAGCUUAGCACAAAAUUGCCAGAUAAGCCUUGCAGAACCCAUAUUUGGUGCCUGAGGCUACACUGACCUGGGUGAAGAACAGGAGGGAUUGAAUGGCUGGAGAUGCUCACCUGCAGCCAACCCUCUAGCACGGGGGCUGCAGAGACAAUGCAGGGCAGCAGCAGUGGCUGCCAGCCAGGGCAGCCGUCCCACAUGUGCCUGAGCUCUGUGUGCAGUGAGGGGCAGGGGAAAAGGGAGCACACAGAGCUGGAGCUCCAUCUCUGUGGGGUGAAAUAUGUAAUGACCUCAGUUUAAGAUGUUAGGGCUGACUAUGAGAGGUAUUUAACACAGGCACUCUUCAGACAUUGAUGCCUGUCUUUGGCUUCAGUAGAGAUGGUGCACAAUGGAUUCCAUCAGACAAGACUAUCAGAUGGAUCUAAACAGCAAAAAACUGCAAGAAGCAGUUUUCAUCUCACUGUACAACAUCCUGCAGAGAUUUAGUGACCACCAGCACAGUGUGGCAGCCUCUGAGAGUAAGUUUCUCACUUGGGCUUCUGCUGCUGCUAAAAAUGUAAGUUAUUUAUGAGGAGAAGGUCAUGUACCACAUUUCAGGCUGUAAAGCAAGCCAGAAAACUCUCACAGUUUCAUGUAAGUGUGCCAGAAGCCAAAGAAGUCACAUACAUAGGAGAAAUCACAUUUCAUUGUGCCUGAGGACCAGAAGUUGGUGGCUGUAUCUGAAAAUAUUUGCAUUCACUGUCUUUAAGAUAAAACACUAAAUGUCUUAUUAUCAUUUGGGUUUUUUGGUUGGUUGAUUAGAGACUGGAGACAUGAGAAGGACAAAACCUGUAGGAAAAUAUGUUGUAUUUUGAGAUGCAAAAUGAUGCCUGUUAAGUGCUGCAACACCAUGCUGCAGCCAUCACAGUAAGUGUCCCUUGCCAGCAGAGCUAAGGGGAAGAUGGAGAGUUCACUGGUCCUGUGUAAAUGUACUGUGCUUCACCCAGGCAUCAAGUGGAGAAUGGUGCCAUCGGAACACAACCAACCAAGCUGCAUUCAACAGGGUGAACACAUCCUCACUAAUAUACAUAAAGAUCAGGUUAGCACCGGGAGAAUAUUUUUCAUAAAGUUUGAGCUUUGAACCCUGUUCCCCUUUAAAAACUGAACUUUAAAAUUCAGAAUUCCACUUGCUUUAUAAACAAUAGAAACACUUCAUCUUAAGCUUUCUUUUCCACAAAUGUCUUUCUCUUUAUUCCACUAUGACUAAUGAUCUCUGUCCUCUUGUAAAUCCUUUACCACUCUACUCCUUUUUUCAAAUAGUCUCAUUCAUUAAAAAAUUAAAUUAAACUCACAGCUGUUUUUAUGUUCUCAGCCUUUCUGAGUCUGCUCUUGACCUUCCUUAACUUCACAUUUGCUUCUUCUACCUCAGACACAAAGAAGGGUUAUUUAUCCCAUAUGCUAAGUUUGUUUCACCUGUGCAGACACACAGCCAGGAUCUUAAUUUCAUUUUUUUAAUAGUACCUAUAAACUGAACCUCUUAAAAUACAGGGGAAAAAAAGAGAGAAAUAUUUUCACAGAAUAGUAGAAUGGAAAAGAUCUUGAACAUUUAUCUGGUCCCAUCUUUCAUGAAAAAGAAAGCCUAGAUCUUAGUUCCUAUAACACCUUAAGAUUAAAAAAUAGUGAAAAUAAUGGGAAUAAUCUUGUAAAUAGAACUGCCAUUGAGAAGGCAAAGUGAUAUUUGAUGUUCAAAUCUGUCAUUUAGAGGCCUUCUGUUAAUGAUGAUCAAAGAUCUGGUUGCAUAGCACACUAAAUGAACCAUCAGUCACCAUCUCUUCUUGAAGGAACGUUUGUCUUGUGUUUCUAAACUACUUGUUUCACACAGCACAAAAUCCUCUGAGCAGGUUGCUGUACUGGGGCUUGAUGUCCUGGACUUGGCACUGCCUGUGCUUCCAUGUGUGCUCAGCCAGAAAUCCCUAACGCUACUUUUUCUAUUGCUGAUCAUCAGUAUUCUUGAACAGGACAGAAAAUAAAAGUGUAUAUGUU
ensembl:lncRNA